rnacentral:rRNA from 1 species
UGGGGAAUCUUGGACAAUGGGCGAAAGCCUGAUCCAGCCAUGCCGCGUGUGCGAAGAAGGCCCUAGGGUUGUAAACCUCUUUCAGCAGGGAAGAAGCGAGAGUGACGGUACCUGCAGAAGAAGCACCGGCUAACUACGUGCCAGCAGCCGCGGUAAUACGUAGGGUGCAAGCGUUGUCCGGAAUUAUUGGGCGUAAAGAGCUCGUAGGCGGUCUGUCGCGUCUGCUGUGAAAGUUCGGGGCUCAACCCCGGAACUGCAGUGGGUACGGGCAGACUAGAGUGCGGUAGAGGAGACUGGAAUUCCUGGUGUAGCGGUGGAAUGCGCAGAUAUCAGGAGGAACACCAGUGGCGAAGGCGGGUCUCUGGGCCGCAACUGACGCUGAGGAGCGAAAGCAUGGGGAGCGAACAGGAUUAGAUACCCGUGUAGUCC